rnacentral:rRNA from 1 species
GAUAAACGCUGGCGGCGUGCAUGAGACAUGCAAGUCGAACGGACGAAUGGGCUUGCUCAUUCGUUAGUGGCGGACGGCUGAGUAACGCGUAGGUGACCUACCCCGAAGUGGGGAAUAACUGCCCGAAAGGGUGGCUAAUACCGCAUGUGGUGAUGCGUUCAUUCACAUCAUCAAAGCCGCAAGGCGCUGCGGGAGGGGCCUGCGUCCGAUUAGCUCGUUGGUGGGGUAACGGCUCACCAAGGCGACGAUCGGUAGGUGGUCUGAGAGGAUGAUCACCCAGACUGGGUCUGAGACACGGCCCAGACUCCUACGGGAGGCAGCAGUCGGGAAUUUUGCUCAAUGGGCGCAAGCCUGAAGCAGCAACGCCGCGUGAGGGAUGAAGGCCUUCGGGUUGUAAACCUCUUUUGACAGGGACGAUGAUGACGGUACCUGUCGAAUAAGUCACGGCUAACUACGUGCCAGCAGCCGCCGUAAAAC